CCUACGGGGGGCAGCAGUGGGGGAUAUUGCACAAUGGGGGGAACCCUGAUGCAGCGACGCCGCGUGGGUGAAGAAGCGCCUCGGCGCGUAAAGCCCUGUCAGCAGGGAAGAAAAUGACGGUACCUGACGAAGAAGCCCCGGCUAACUACGAGCCAGCAGCCGCGGUAAUACGUAGGGGGCAAGCGUUAUCCGGAUUUACUGGGUGUAAGGGGGGCGCAGACGGCGAUGCAAGCCAGGAGUGAAAGCCCGGGGCCCAACCCCGGGACGGCUCUUGGAACUGCGUGGCUGGAGUGCAGGAGGGGCAGGCGGAAUGCCUGGUGUAGCGGUGAAAGGCGUAGAUAUCAGGAGGAACACCGGUGGCGAAGGCGGCCUGCGGGAUUGCAACGGACGUUGAGGCCCGAAAGCGUGGGGAGUAAACAGGAUUAGAUACCCCAGUAGUC
rnacentral:rRNA from 1 species